GCAUUACUGGGGAGUCCCACAAUAGGACGAAACGACCGUCCUGUAC
rnacentral:hammerhead_ribozyme from 1 species